UACAGAGGUCCCAAGCGUUGUUCGGAUUUACUGGGCGUAAAGGGUGCGUAGGCGGUUGGGUAAGUCUGACGUGAAAUCUCCGGGCCUAACCCGGAAACUGCGUUGGAUACUACCUGACUAGAGGAAUGGAGGGGAGACUGGAAUACUUGGUGUAGCAGUGAAAUGCGUAGAUAUCGAGAGGAACACCUGCGGCGAAGGCGGGUUGCUGGGCUGACACUGACGCUGAUGCGCGAAAGCUAGGGGAGCGAACGGG
rnacentral:rRNA from 1 species